rnacentral:rRNA from 1 species
AGAUUGAACGCUGGCGGCGUGCUUAACACAUGCAAGUCGAUCGGUAACAGGUGUAGCAAUACAUGCUGACGAGAGGCGGACGGGUGAGGAAUGUUUGGGAAUCUGCCCAUCAGCGGGGGACAACCCGGGGAAACCCGGGCUAAUACCGCAUACGCUCCACGGAGGAAAGCCGGGGACCGCAAGGCCUGGCACUGAUGGAUGAGCCCAAAUCGGAUUAGCUAGUUGGCGGGGUAACGGCCCACCAAGGCUACGAUCCGUAGCUGGUCUGAGAGGACGAUCAGCCACACCGGAACUGAGACACGGUCCGGACUCCUACGGGAGGCAGCAGUGGGGGAAUAUUGGACAAUGGGCGCAAGCCUGAUCCAGCGACGCCGCGUGGGUGAAGAAGGCCUGCGGGUUGUAAAGCCCUUUCGGUAGGGACGAAACCUUCGACUUAACACGUCGAGGGAUUGACUUAACCUACAUAAGAAGCACCGGCUAACUCUGUGCCAGCAGCCGC